rnacentral:rRNA from 1 species
CAAGAGCGUAUGUAAAAGUUGUUGCAGUUAAAAAGCUCGUAGUUGAACCUUGGGUUUGGUUGGCCGGUCCGCUUUUUUGCGAGUACUGGAUUCAACCGAGCCUUUCCUUCUGGCUAACCAGUCGUUUCGGCGGCUGGCGAACCAGGAUUUUUACUUUGAGAAAAUUAGAGUGUUCAAAGCAGGCAUUAGCUUGAAUAUAUUAGCAUGGAAUAAUAGAAUAGGACGUUAUGGUUCUAUUUUGUUGGUUUCUAGAACCAUCGUAAUGAUUAAUAGGGACGGUCGGGGGCAUCAGUAUUCAGUUGUCAGAGGUGAAAUUCUUGGAUUUACUGAAGACUAACUACUGCGAAAGCAUUUGCCAAGGACGUUUUCAUUAA